rnacentral:misc_RNA from 1 species
AACUUUCAGCAAUGGAUCUCUUGUCUCUCGCAUCGAUGAAGAACGCAGCGAAAUGCGAUAAGUAAUGUGAAUUGCAGAAUUCAGUGAAUCAUCGAAUCUUUGAACGCACCUUGCACCCUUUGGCAUUCCGAAGGGUAUGCUCGUUUGAGUGUCAUUGUACUCUCACACUCCCGAUGCUUUUGGAUUGGGAGUGGUGGACUUGGGUGUUGCUGCUUUACUGUGGCUCACCUCAAAUGGAGUAGUGCAACUCUUGGUUGGACAUAGUACGGCGUGAUAAGUGUCUUCGCCGGCGCCUCAUUAGAGGGUGGCCGAUCGGGAGCUCUGUGCUUCAAACCGUCUUCGGACAACAUCUGACAACUUGACCUCAAAUCGAGUAGGACUACCCGCUGAACUUAAGCAUAUCAAUAAGCGGAGGCU